UGCUAAGAGAGCAGCCUAUGUCCUAUCAGCUUGUUGGUAAGGUAAUGGCUUACCAAGGCUAUGACGGGUAUCCGGCCUGAGAGGGUGAACGGACACACUGGAACUGAGACACGGUCCAGACUCCUACGGGAGGCAGCAGUAGGGAAUAUUGCUCAAUGGGGGAAACCCUGAAGCAGCAACGCCGCGUGGAGGAUGAAGGUUUUAGGAUUGUAAACUCCUUUUGUUAGAGAAGAUAAUGACGGUAUCUAACGAAUAAGCACCGGCUAACUCCGUGCCAGCAGCCGCGGUAAUACGGAGGGUGCAAGCGUUACUCGGAAUCACUGGGCGUAAAGAGCGCGUAGGCGGGAUAGUCAGUCAGGUGUGAAAUCCUAUGGCUUAACCAUAGAACUGCAUUUGAAACUACUAUUCUAGAGUGUGGGAGAGGUAGGUGGAAUUCUUGGUGUAGGGGUAAAAUCCGUAGAGAUCAAGAGGAAUACUCAUGCUAGGCG
rnacentral:rRNA from 1 species